UACGGAGGGGGCUAGCGUUGUUCGGAAUUACUGGGCGUAAAGCGCGCGUAGGCGGACCUGCAAGUCGGGGGUGAAAGCCCGAGGCUCAACCUCGGAACUGCCUUCGAUACUGCGGGUCUCGAGUCCGGGAGAGGUGAGUGGAAUUCCAGGUGUAGCGGUGAAAUGCGUAGGAUAUCUGGAGGAACACCGGUGGCGAAGGCGGGCGAGCUCGCCGGUACCGAGGACGUCGAGAGCGAAGACGUGGGCGCGAAAAGCCAG
rnacentral:rRNA from 1 species